rnacentral:ncRNA from 1 species
GAUUAAGUAGUAAAGGGCGCACGGAGGAUGCCUUGGCACUAGGAGCCGAAGAAGGACGUGACAAACGACGAAAUGCUACGGGGAGCUGUAAGUAAGCAAAGAGCCGUAGAUAUCCGAAUGGGGGAACCCACCGCUUUUAAAAGGGCGGUACGCGAAAGCGAGGUAACGCAGGGAACUGAAACAUCUAAGUACCUAGAGGAAGAGAAAGAAAAAUCGAUUUCCUGAGUAGCGGCGAGCGAAAAGGAAAGAGCCCAAACCAAUGUGCUUGCAUAUUGGGGUUGUAGGACUCUCAACAAAUCGUAUGACAAAGUAUAGUAGAACUAGCUGGAAAGUUAGACCGUAGAAGGUAAAAGUCCUGUAUACGAAAUGCUAAGUUGGCGCGAGAGAGCACCUGAGUACGGCGGAACACGAGGAAUUCCGUCGGAAUCUACCAGGACCAUCUGGUAAGGCUAAAUACUACCUAGUGACCGAUAGUGAACCAGUACCGUGAGGGAAAGGUGAAAAGAACCCCUGGCGGGGAGGUGAAGAGAACCUGAAACCGUGUGCUUACAAGUAGUCAGAGCCCCUUGAGGGUGAUGGCGUGCCUUUUGUAGAAUGAACCGGCGAGUUACUUUAUCAUGCGAGGUUAAGUGGAAGACAUGGAGCCGAAGCGAAAGCGAGUCUUAAUAGGGCGAAAUAGUAUGAUGGAGUAGACCCGAAACCAAGUGAUCUACCCAUGGCCAGGUU